rnacentral:tRNA from 1 species
GCCCGAGUGGCGGAAUGGCAGACGCAGUGGACUCAAAAUCCACCGAGGGCAACCUCGUGCGAGUUCGACUCUCGCCUCGGGCA